UACGUAGGUGGCGAGCGUUGUCCGGAUUUACUGGGCGUAAAGAAUGCGUAGGUGGAUAUUUAAGUGGGAUGUGAAAUCCCCGGGCUCAACCCGGGAACUGCAUACCAAACUGGAUAUCUGGAGUGCAGGAGAGGAAAGCGGAAUUCCUAGUGUAGCGGUGAAAUGCGUAGAUAUUAGGAGGAACACCAGUGGCGAAGGCGGCUUUCUGGACUGUAACUGACACUGAGGCAUGAAAGCGUGGGGAGCAAACAGG
rnacentral:rRNA from 1 species